AUUGAACGCUGGCGGCAGGCUUAACACAUGCAAGUCGAGCGGAGCGAGGGUGCUUGCACCUUAGCUUAGCGGCGGACGGGUGAGUAAUGCUUAGGAAUCUGCCUAUUAGUGGGGGACAACAUUCCGAAAGGGAUGCUAAUACCGCAUACGCCCUACGGGGGAAAGCAGGGGAUCACUUGUGACCUGCGCUAAUAGAUGAGCCUAAGUCGGAUUAGCUAGUUGGUGGGGUAAAGGCCUACCAAGGCGACGAUCUGUAGCGGGUCUGAGAGGAUGGUCCGCCACACUGGGACGGGAAAACGGCCCAGACUCCUACGGGAGGCAGCAGUGGGGAAUAUUGGACAAUGGGGGGAACCCUGAUCCAGCCAUGCCGCGUGUGUGAAGAAGGCCUUUUGGUUGUAAAGCACUUUAAGCGAGGAGGAGGCGCUCUAGGAUAAUACCCUAGAUGCGUGGACGUUACUCGCAGAAUAAGCACCGGCUAACUCUGUGCCAGCCGCCGCAGUAAGAC
rnacentral:rRNA from 1 species